rnacentral:rRNA from 1 species
CCUACGGGUGGCAGCAGUGAGGAAUAUUGGUCAAUGGACGCAAGUCUGAACCAGCCAUGCCGCGUGCAGGAAGACGGCUCUAUGAGUUGUAAACUGCUUUUGUACGAGGGUAAACGCAGAUACGCGUAUCUGUCUGAAAGUAUCGUACGAAUAAGGAUCGGCUAACUCCGUGCCAGCAGCCGCGGUAAUACGGAGGAUUCAAGCGUUAUCCGGAUUUAUUGGGUUUAAAGGGUGCGUAGGCGGUUGGAUAAGUUAGAUGUGAAAUCCCGAGGCUCAACUUCGGAAUUGCAUCUGAUACUGGUCGGCUUGAGAGUAGUUGCGGUAGGCGGAAUGUAUGGUGUAGCGGUGAAAUGCUUAGAGAUCAUACAGAACACCGAUUGCGAAGGCAGCUUACCAAGCUACUUCUGACGUUGAGGCACGAAAGCGUGGGGAGCAAACAGGAUUAGAUACCCCGGUAGUC